UCUUUAAAUGUAAGAUAAAAGGAACAUUGUAUUUGGAAUUUAAAAAAAAAUGAACUAAAACCACAGCAUGCUUCUGGAGAUUUUGCAAAAUUAUACAGGGCAAAAAUUUUACUUAUUUUGAAGUCAUAUUUUCUAUGCCCUGAUAUAUCCAUAGUGUUUUAAGACUUUCGUGCAAUGUUAUCAAUAUUAGUUUUGAAAUUCAUAGCUUGCUUUUACUUCUUUGUAAAAAAAGUCAUGUCUUUUAUGUAGUACAACAUCUAGAAUUGUUGUAAAAAAAAUAUUUUUUUAAUGGGUACAUAUAUGCUCUUCACAAUCGGUCUAAUUUUCAUUAUAAUAAUAUCAAUUCAGUAAAAAAAUUAUGUUUUCAUUGAAUUUAAUUUGUGACCAUCCAUUCAGUGAUUGAUGACUGUAAAAAUACAAAAUUUCCUUUCCUUUGAGUUCAAUUUGUGACCACCAAACUAUAGAUUGAUGGUUGUAAAUAAAUAAACACAUUACUUCCUCAUCAUAAAGAAAUAUUUUUGUCAAAGCUUAUGUGCAGAAGGAGAUUUAAAAAUUGUUAAGAUAAUGUUAUUAAUGUGUCUUUAGCUGCAUUCACACUGAGGCUUGAACAAAUUGUCAAACAUCGAGUAUAAGUUAUCAACCCUUUAAUUUUGAAAACUUGUGAAAAUUGAAAACUCUAAAGAGUGUUUCUGGUGUUGGAGGCACCAACAGUUGAUAAAAUUUGUGAUAAGGAUUCAUAUACAAAAGUAUCUCUGUAUCAACAGUUUAUUAUUACCAAGAUAUCAACAUUAAAACUUCAGAACACAAAAAAGAAAAUAAACAUGAGCAGUGUGAAUGCAGCCCUUGUUAAAAUUCAUUAAUGUCGGGCAUUUUAAAUGCUUCGUUAUAUAUAAAAUAGAAUUACAUUUGUAGUUUUGUAAUUUGAUGUGUUUUAAACAUGUCUGAAUCUUUGUUAGUUAUAAGAGAGUUUUCUACUUUCAAGUUUUGAUGAUUAUUUGUGUAUUUUAAAAAAAACAUGUCUUUGAUGAGGUUUUAUAGCUUAAUAAAAAUUUCCAAC
rnacentral:lncRNA from 1 species